GAUGUGAGGGAGCACUGGCUCCGACAGUCACCCACUGACCGCCAGGGCCAAACAGAUGAUCUGGCUGGGCAGGUGUCCCCUCCGUCCCUCAGCACUGCAUGUGUGUCCCUCCUGCAGCCGAGGGCUUGGGAAGAGGACAACCUUCCUAGAUAGAAGAGUAGACCUCCUCAGUCAGUGGUGUGCUCCCUGCUAGGACCUCUAAACAAGCUCUGAAGCAAAUGCCCACAAAGGUAUCUUUUAACCCAAAAACAUUAUGGGAGCAUGGAUUAUUU
rnacentral:snRNA from 1 species